rnacentral:sRNA from 1 species
GCCAGGUGCAGUGGCACACACCUGUAAUCCCAGCAACUCGGGAGGCUGAGGCAGGAGGAUAGCAAGUUCAAAGCCAGCCUCAGCAAUCGAGGCCCUAAACUACUCAGUGGGACCCUGUCUCUA